UACGGAGGGUGCAAGCGUUACUCGGAAUCACUGGGCGUAAAGGAUGCGUAGGCUGGAAAUCAAGUCGAGAGUGAAAUCCAACGGCUCAACCGUUGAACUGCUCUCGAAACUGGUUACCUAGAAUAUGGGAGAGGUAGAUGGAAUUGGUGGUGUAGGGGUAAAAUCCGUAGAUAUCACCAGGAAUACCGAUUGCGAAGGCGAUCUACUGGAACAUUAUUGACGCUGAGGCAUGAAAGCGUGGGGAGCAAACAGG
rnacentral:rRNA from 2 species